rnacentral:rRNA from 1 species
AUUGAACGCUAACGGCGUGCUUAACACAUGCAAGUCGAGCGGCAGCAUGAUUGUAGCAAUACACUUGAUGGCGAGCGGCGGACGGGUGAGUAAUAUAUAGGAAUCUGCCUUGUAGUGAGGGAUAACCCGGGGAAACUCGGGCUAAUACCGCAUAAUCUUUACGGAGCAAAGUGGGGGAUCGUAAGACCUCACGCUACAAGAUGAGCCGAUAUUGGAUUAGCUAGUUGGUAGGGUAAAGGCCUACCAAGGCAACGAUCCAUAGCUGGUCUGAGAGGAUGAUCAGCCACACUGGGACUGAGACACGGCCCAGACUCCUACGGGAGGCAGCAGUGGGGAAUAUUGGACAAUGGGCGAAAGCCUGAUCCAGCAACGCCGUGUGUGUGAAGAAGGCCUUCGGGUUGUAAAGCACUUUUAGUGGGGAAGAAAAGCUCAUGGCUAAUAACCAUGAGUGAUGACGUUACCCACAGAAAAAGCACUGGCUAACUCUGUGCCAGCCGCCGCAGUAA